rnacentral:rRNA from 1 species
UGGGGAAUAUUGCACAAUGGGCGAAAGCCUGAUGCAGCAACGCCGCGUGAGUGAUGAAGGCCUUCGGGUUGUAAAGCUCUGUCUUUUGGGACGAUAAUGACGGUACCAAAGGAGGAAGCCACGGCUAACUACGUGCCAGCAGCCGCGGUAAUACGUAGGUGGCAAGCGUUGUCCGGAUUUACUGGGCGUAAAGGAUGCGUAGGCGGAUUUUUAAGUGAGAUGUGAAAACCCUAAGCUUAACUUGGGGACUGCAUUUCAUACUGGAAAUCUAGAGUGCGGGAGAGGAGAAUGGAAUUCCUAGUGUAGCGGUGAAAUGCGUAGAGAUUAGGAAGAACACCAGUGGCGAAGGCGAUUCUCUGGACCGUAACUGACGCUGAGGCAUGAAAAGCGUGGGUAGCAAACAGGAUUAGAUACCCUGGUAGUCCACGCCGUAAACGAUGAGUACUAGGUGUAGGAGGUAUCGACCCCUUCUGUGCCGCAGUUAACACAAUAAGUACUCCGCCUGGGAAGUACGAUCGCAAGAUUAAAAACUCAAAGGAAUUGACGGGGUCAUAGCUGUUUCC